AUCCUAGUCUGUUAGCAUUGUACAAAAAAAACUACAAACACAAAUAUGUGUGGGUCCGUGUCGUGCAAGAGGGAGUUUCCCAGGGGAUUACCCCGUGUUUACCUCUCUACUUACAUGUAACUAGCUACAGAUAAGUACUUUUAGAGUAGCUUGAACAAACUAUAUUAGAUAUCUUUCAACAGUCCCAAAUGGGUUCUCUCUAUCCAUGGCAAUCGGCUGGUUUGUCUUCAGAGUGUACCGCCACAUCAGGCCUUUCUUCAGUGGGCGUGUAUUGGAUACCCCCGAAACUCACGAAUCUUUUGAAUAGCCGACUAGGAGACAAGCAUGUGACUGCGGUACCUGGCAUUGGUCCUGCAACGGCACAAAGGAUGGGAACCACAAGAGCUUACCAGUUACUUGGGAUCUAUCUUCUAGAUCCAUGUCUACCGAAUUUUCAAGCAACAUUGCGGUCUAAAUUCGGAGUCUAUGCCAAUAACGCAGGAGUUGCCUAUAAUGCCUUGCAAGACAUGGUUGCAAAAUACAUGCCAAUGCAAACAACCUUUUACUGUUUUGACAUAGCUUUUGUGAAUAUCCCACUUGGAGCAAAGCCUGUGAUUGCUGUACCUGGCAUUGGUCCUCAAAGGGCACCGAUGUUUGCUGCGAGGGGAAUCACACAAGCUUACCAGUUACUCGGGCUCUAUCUUCGAGAUCCAUCGAAUUUUCAAGCAACAUUGUGGGAUGAAUUCAAAGUCGAUCGCCAUUGGUCAAGAGUUGCCCGAGAUGCCUUGUACGACGUUUCAAGAUACAUUGUCUGACAUUGUAUAACAGUGACUUUUAACUUAUGUCGUAGUAACUGUAGUAACAGUAUAAUUAAUAGACAUUCAUAUAUGCGUGUGAUUAGUGCUUGUGUAUUUUAAUUGCUGAG